rnacentral:snRNA from 1 species
AACCUUGGUUGUAUGGAACAAAGG